AGGAGAGUUUGAUCAUGGCUCAGAUUGAACGCUGGCGGCAGGCUUAACACAUGCAAGUCGAGCGGUAACAGAGAUAGCUUGCUAUCUGCUGACGAGCGGCGGACGGGUGAGUAACGCGUAGGAAUCUACCUAGUAGUGGGGGACAACAGUUGGAAACGACUGCUAAUACCGCAUACGCCCUACGGGGGAAAGCAGGGGAUCUUCGGACCUUGCGCUAUUAGAUGAGCCUGCGUCGGAUUAGCUAGUUGGUGGGGUAAUGGCCUACCAAGGCGACGAUCCGUAGCUGGUCUGAGAGGAUGAUCAGCCACACUGGGACUGAGACACGGCCCAGACUCCUACGGGAGGCAGCAGUGGGGAAUAUUGCACAAUGGGCGCAAGCCUGAUGCAGCCAUGCCGCGUGUGUGAAGAAGGCCUUCGGGUUGUAAAGCACUUUCAGCGAGGAGGAAAGGAAUGUGGUUAAUACCCAUGUUCUGUGACGUUACUCGCAGAAGAAGCACCGGCUAACUCCGUGCCAGCAGCCGCGGUAAUACGGAGGGUGCGAGCGUUAAUCGGAAUUACUGGGCGUAAAGCG
rnacentral:rRNA from 1 species